rnacentral:rRNA from 1 species
GAUGAACGCUAGCUACAGGCUUAACACAUGCAAGUCGAGGGGCAUCAGGAAGAAAGCUUGCUUUCUUUGCUGGCGACCGGCGCACGGGUGAGUAACACGUAUCCAACCUGCCCUUUACUCGGGGAUAGCCUUUCGAAAGAAAGAUUAAUACCCGAUAGCAUAAUGAUUCCGCAUGGUUUCAUUAUUAAAGGAUUCCGGUAAAGGAUGGGGAUGCGUUCCAUUAGGUUGUUGGUGAGGUAACGGCUCACCAAGCCUUCGAUGGAUAGGGGUUCUGAGAGGAAGGUCCCCCACAUUGGAACUGAGGCACGGUCCAAACUCCUACGGGAGGCAGCAGUGAGGAAUAUUGGUCAAUGGGCGCUAGCCUGAACCAGCCAAGUAGCGUGAAGGAUGAAGGCUCUAUGGGUCGUAAACUUCUUUUAUAUAAGAAUAAAGUGCAGUAUGUAUACUGUUUUGUAUGUAUUAUAUGAAUAAGGAUCGGCUAACUCCGUGCCAGCAGCCGCGGUAAUACGGAGGAUCCGAGCGUUAUCCGGAUUUAUUGGGUUUAAAGGGAGCGUAGGUGGACUGGUAAGUCAGUUGUGAAAGUUUGCGGCUCAACCGUAAAAUUGCAGUUGAUACUGUCAGUCUUGAGUACAGUAGAGGUGGGCGGAAUUCGUGGUGUAGCGGUGAAAUGCUUAGAUAUCACGAAGAACUCCGAUUGCGAAGGCAGCUCACUGGACUGCAACUGACACUGAUGCUCGAAAGUGUGGGUAUCAAACAGG